rnacentral:rRNA from 1 species
CAAUAGCGUAUAUUAAAGUUGUUGCGGUUAAAAAGCUCGUAGUUGGAGUUCUGCCAGGUGACGCUCGUCCGCCCAAGUGGUGUGUACAGGGCGUGCAUCUGGCCCUUUCAAGGGGAACGUGUCUGCACUUUACUGUGUGGUGCGAGAUCCUUGACUUUUACUUUGAGGAAAUCAGAGUGUUCCAAGCAGGCUCUCGUCGUGUAUAGCUCAGCAUGGAAUAAUAGCAUUGGACUUCGUUUCUAAGCUGUUGGUUGCAAGAAGCGAGGUAAUGAUGAAGAGGGAUAGUUGGGGGCAUUCGUAUUUAACUGUCAGAGGUGAAAUUCUUGGAUUUGUGAAAGACGGACUACUGCGAAAGCAUCUGCCAUGGAUGUUUUCAUUGA